CACAGCAGCGGCACAAUAGCUCCCUUACAAGACACAUAAUCGCAUCCAUCUUAAUGAGAACAAGCAGCGUGGGGCUGUCUAAUGAACAACUGAAGCAACUUGUGACUAAUUGUAAAUUAGGCGACAGGAGAUCCAGGGCCUGUUAGUAAAGAAACACAACGGAAGCCACAGGUCUCCGCAAGCCACACUGGAUAAGUUGGAUGGACAUAGAGCCCGGCGGAUCUGAGAGUUGUGUCAUUUGCCGAGCUCAGCAAACGUGCCUGGUGGUGGCGGAUGAACAUUUCAAAUCUGACUUACACAAGUUGGCUGCACCAAAGAUGGAGCAAUCUUCAUAUCUGAUGUCCCAAGACUUUUGCGUAGGCGUAAACUUUUAAGAUUCAAAACUGCCCAAGAAAAGGAAUGGGAAAAUCAACUUUUUUUACCCUGGUUAGAAAAAGGUUUAUAUUUUUGUUUAUAGCACUGCCCCCAGGAUAAUGUUAAAAUGGGGGGGGGAAUUAUUGCAUAUUUUUUAGAGGAUAAAAAAAGUUGUGUGUAAAUAUGAAAAGAAGUAGAAAAAUUUGGUUAGAAAAGAUCACUUUUUUAUUGUUUAGAAAUCGGCAAUAAUAAACAAUACUGGUAAAAU